CUUAUUUCAAGAAUCAAUAGUGAAUCAAAGAGAGAAAGAGAUCCAACGAAGCGACGAUAGAGGGAGAUCGAGCAACCAAGUGAUUGAGUUAAUAGAAAGAGAUUCUUGAUCGAACCCUCCGUAUUUGCUCCAUUGUUCGCAAUGUCUAAAAAAGCUAAUGAAAAUGAUGGUGAUGGGGACGUCAUUGAAGUACAUGACAUUUCAGCUCGAAAUUCUCCCAGAAAGUGGAAGUUGACAUCAAAGUUGUGCAUCCAUGAUCAGUAUAUACGAAGGCAAUGUUUUUGGUCUUGUCAUGAUUCAGACAAUUUUUUGGAGGUUUUUUUGGUCCUGUCAUGACUCAAGAAAUGUACAUAGACUGGUGGACAAUAUCCUAAAGAGGGGUCAUAUGGACAACAUGAAGUAUUCUGUAGAAGAAUUGAAAUACCUUUUGUUUUUGGUCCUCUGCCAUAUUUCAGUUUAGUGUAUUCCAGAAUUUAGCCCAGGUGUCCACUAUUUUUUUUAGUAAUUGUUAUGCUUUCUGAAAAUGUAAGUUGUUUACUGUUAACUAUUGGAGAAAUUUGAAGUGGUGCUCACUUUUAAAAGGAGCAUGAGUAACUAAUGGCAUUGGAUUACUUCUAGUAAUGCUCACUUUUAAAAGAAACAUAAGUUGUAACUUGUAUUCUGUUAUAAAUUCCUGUUUGUUAUUUGUUCCUUA